AUAUUAAUAAGCAAAGGAAAAGAAAUCAACUGAGAUUGCCUUAGUAACGGCGAGUGAAGCGGCAACAGCUCAAAUUUGAAAUCUGCCUCUAGGCCGAGUUGUAAUUUGUAGAAGAUGCUUCGGGUGUGGCACCGGUCUAAGUUCCUUGGAACAGGACGUCACAGAGGGUGAGAAUCCCGUACGUGGCCGCUGGCCUUCGCCAUGUAAAGCCCCUUCGACGAGUCGAGUUGUUUGGGAAUGCAGCUCUAAAUGGGAGGUAAAUUUCUUCUAAAGCUAAAUAUUGGCCAGAGACCGAUAGCGCACAAGUA
rnacentral:rRNA from 1 species